rnacentral:tRNA from 1 species
GGUAUAUAGCUCAGUGGUAGAGCACUUGCCUACGAUGUGUAAGACCCUGGAUUCAAUCCCCAGUACUGCCA